rnacentral:rRNA from 1 species
AGAGUUUGAUCCUGGCUCAGAACGAACGCUGGCGGCGUGGAUAAGACAUGCAAGUCGAACGCUGAUUUGCGGGUAGCAAUAUUCGCAAGUCGGAGUGGCGCAAGGGUGUGUAACACGUGGGUAAUCUGCCGUGAAGUCUGGGAUAACUUGCUGAAAGGCGAGCUAAUACCGGAUGUGAACGCAAGUUCAAAGUUGGGGACCGCAAGGCCUGACGCUUCACGAUGAGCCCGCGGCCUAUCAGCUAGUUGGUGAGGUAACGGCUCACCAAGGCUAAGACGGGUAGCUGGUCUGAGAGGACGACCAGCCACACUGGAACUGAGACACGGUCCAGACACCUACGGGUGGCAGCAGUCGAGAAUUUUUCUCAAUGGGCGAAAGCCUGAAGGAGCGACGCCGCGUGGGGGAUGAAUGGCUUCGGCCCGUAAACCCCUGUCAUUUGUGAACAAAUUGUUUCACUUAACACGCGAAGCAUUGAUUGUAACGGAAGAGGAAGGGACGGCUAACUCUGUGCCAGCAGCCGCGGUAAUACAGAGGUCCCAAGCGUUGUUCGGAUUCACUGGGCGUAAAGGGUGCGUAGGCGGCCAGGUAAGUUUGAUGUGAAAUCCCGCAGCUCAACUGCGGAACUGCAUUGGAUACUAUCUGGCUCGAGGAAUGGAGGGGAGACUGGAAUUCUCGGUGUAGCAGUGAAAUGCGUAGAUAUCGAGAGGAACACCAGUGGCGAAGGCGAGUCUCUGGACAUUUCCUGACGCUCAGGCACGAAAGCCAGGGGAGCAAACGGGAUUAGAUACCCCGGUAGUCC